CCUGGCGCUCCGCCUGGGCCGCGCACACACCCUCGCGCGCACGCCCGCGCCAGGCACACGCUCGCCCUCAGUGGGGUUGGCCGGCUCGGCGCCUCUCGCACAGUCACGCGCCCACACACAUCCCUCCACCCGCACACACACCCGCACGCACACGCCCCGCAGCUUCCUCGCCUCUUUGCCCAGCGCUGCGCCACGCAGCCAAGCAUCGUCUGCCGGCUGGGGCGCAGGAGCACCGGCUCUCACCUGCUCCCAGCAGGGCUCUGGCACCAGGCACACCGCUGAGCUUUGGCACCUGCUGUUCCCUCUGCCUGGACCACCCUUCCCAGCAUCGUUUCCCAGUCGUAGAUUGGCCACACCACCCAGCCUUGACUCCAGGCCAACUGUCGCAGACAUCUGGGUGACAACACAGCGUGGAGAGCCAGCUGCUUCGUCCUUGGGCCAGAGCACCAGCACAUGGUCCAGACUAUUGGCAAGCAGACCUCCGUGCCGGAGAGGUCCUGCAUGGAAUGCCGGACGGCGGCUCACUUUGCCUAAGUGGGCUCUGCCAGACAGCUGUUUCUCUUAAUUAAACACACACACACACACACACACAAUUAAGUGAUGUGUGCCAGGCACCGUCCAUGGGUGUUCAUGUCUCUAACCUGUGCCCAGCCUCUUGCUGAGCAGUGGGGAUGCCAAGCUGAGAGGUCCCGCCAGCACACAGGGUCAGGGUGGUGGCAGUGUCAGGGUUUGACUAAUGGCCUCAAACAUGACUAAGAUAUUGCCCCAGCCUGGACUUCUUGCCUCCAGGAAAGUGGUUCUCUAAUGAAGCAGGAAAAAAAGCCUCUGCUCUCCCAGCAGCCUGGUGUCUUGGAGGUGGACUUGGGUCUUGUCAGAGCACUGAGCUCCCCCGGAACUCUCAGCCCCUCUCCUUGUCCCUGACCCCAUCCCCAGAUUCAGGAGGGUCCCAGGUAGUCAGGGACUCACCAACCACAGGUGGAGUGAAUUUGUUGCUUCUCACAUCUCCCAGUGAGCUCAGCUCAAACCUCAGCUCCUCUCCGCCUCCUCUCCCCAACCACACCCUACACAGCAGUCAAUGAGACCAUCAUUCCACAGCCUUGUCACCCGCCAGCUUAAAACGCUUUGCGCAUGCCCCAUGGCCCUCAGAAUAAACUCCGUCACUGGCUGGGCCUUGCCUGCCUUUCUGAGCCCAUUCCUCCUGAAUUCACCUUGAACUCCCCCUGCAUGGAGCCCUCACCAGGUAGAGAAGGAACAAAGGGCAUUCUGGGAAGCUGGAACAGCUAGGCAAAUGUUCACAGAUGUGAGAGUCUGAGCAUUCAAAUAGGACACCUGGAGAGGGUGUGGUGGGCAAGCGGAUGGUACUCUCCACAUCGGUCCAUGGGACACGCCCACUCCAGAACCACUCAGGGUGUUGGUUAGUAUCACGUGGAACCGAAUCAGAAUUUCUAGAGCAGGGGUAGGCAACCUUCUUUCUGCCAAGGGCAAAUUGGAUAUUUAUCACAUCAUUCUCGGACCACACAAAAUUAUCAACGUAAAAAUUAGCCUGCUAUAUUUGGUCCAACAUUUAAUUAACUCACCCUUAAUGCCUUGGCAGGGCCAGACCAAAUGAUAAGGCCCGCGGGCCGGACAGUCCCAGCCCUGCUCUAGAGGUUGAGGCUCAGGAGUUUGAGUUUUAACUUGGACACUGGCACGUUGGUGAAUGGCUGAUCAGUGUCAGGAACAAGGGGAGGUGAGAGCCUCCAGGGACAAUGCUGAGCCUUCUGAGGCCAGGUCUGCAUCUUGACCGAGUCUGUGUCUCUGGCACCUAUAAGGGCUUAGAGCAGUGGUUCUCAACCUUCUGGCCCUUUAAAUACAGUUCCUCAUGUUGUGACCCAACCAUAAAAUUACUUUUGUUGCUACUU